rnacentral:lncRNA from 1 species
AUGUCUCUUUUUAACAGAAAAACGGAGCGGAAACGGCAAAGGUCUCCGCCAGGGCCAUCGUCUCCCAACGCUUGCUCUAAGCGCACGUGUCUUAAUACUUUUGGAUAUGGGUCACUACUUAAGUCCUGUGAUAAUCAAUGCUGUGAGUUUAUGCUAUGGCAGUCUCUUAGGAGUCCAUCCUCCUCCAAAAAUUCUGGUGAACUCAGGUUGAGAAAUGGGUGCUCAGGAUCAGAUCUAGAGGGCAAAAGCUGUAAAGAAAUCAUCAGACUCCUCAUGGAUAAAAAUAAAAUUCUAAAGACACCAGAGGGUAAGGUUUUACAUCUCUUAAAGAAUCUCAACCAAAAUUCACUGGGUGUGGAGAAGGAUUCUACAUCUAACUCAAAUGGAAGGUAUGAUUUUUAUUUCACCCCAAGAAGAAAUAUUCAGAUCAACGAUCAUCCUGUUUGUCUCAAAUCUUUCAUCACUAGCUCGCAAGACACUUUGCUAACUGCUUUGACAGCGGACUCGAGCAAUGACGCUUCAGUGGAAAGCGAUAGCCUUUCUGAGUCUCUCCCUGGUUCUAAUUCACCGGAAGAUGAGGCCACAGAAGUGGACGUAAAUUUUUGCAGAAAUAAGGCAACAUUAUUUAUGACAAUAAAGAAAACAGGCCACCCAACUGCAGGUAAAGGUGUCAUCAAAACCAGGGUUCAGUCCAACUACGAAGAAGUGACAGAUUCUGAUACUUCCAUAAGCUCAAACAAUUCUGAGCUGCCUGUGGCCAGAAGAUGUAUUGCAGUUUCAAAAUUUUACUUAGGAUGUGUAUCUCGGGAAUCAGCUCUAUUAAAUUUAAGAAGUUCUGUUCGAUCAAAAGAGGACACAGAAACUUCUGCACCUAGUGCUGCCUCCUUAGAAUCUUUGCCAGGAUCUUUCUCCAAGCAGGAAUCAGCUCUAUUAAAUUUAAGAAGUUCUGUUCGAUCAAAAGAGGACACAGAAACUUCUGCACCUAGUGCUGCCUCCUUAGAAUCUUUGCCAGGAUCUUUCUCCAAGCGGGAAUCAGCUCUAUUAAAUUUAAGAAGUUCUGUUCGAUCAAAAGAGGACACAGAAACUUCUGCACCCAGUGCUACCUCUUUAGAAUCUUUGCCAGGAUCUCUCUCCAAGCAAUAUGAAAUCCCAUUUUUAACCGUCAAACAAGGAAGAUCAGAAACCCACCCAAGCAGUCUCGGAACAGUUACCAAAUUAUUUGCCUGUGAUUUUUAUAGCUUGAAAAAGACCCCCAGAAAGAACUACUUUGACUUUCAUGGUAAAAUAGUUCACAAAGUGGAUAUAUUUGGAACUAUUACAAAGAUUCUACCAUUGCAAGAAAGUAGAAUUGUCUACCACAUCGAUGACGGAACUGCUUCCAUAUCCUGUAUGAUUGAUCGUACUGAGAAUCUGGCAAAGAAAAGAGAAUGCACAGCCAAGUUGGAUCUCAGCAACGCUCCAGAGCCACUUCCGAAACAGCAAUCCUGCCAUGCGAAUAAAUCAAAGUCUAGGCUACUAAGUGCUGUUACUGGUAUGAGAUCAGUUCUUGAAGGAAAUUUGAAAUCAGAAGUGGACAUAAAUAAUUUGAAACUUGGUGAUACUGUCCAUGGAGUUGGGGUACUUUAUGAUCAUGGAGCAGAAAAAAACAUGUACCUGAAUAAAAUUUGGCAAGUGACUACUGAACAUGAGAUAGAGGAUAGGUUGCAUCAGAUUAUUUUCCUCUACGAAGAAGUCUAUCCCAAGCUUAUCAAGGAUUUCUAA